UUCAAUGACUUUCAUCUGGUGGUGUC
rnacentral:piRNA from 1 species